UUCUGAUGUUUUCUCAUUAUACUGAUGGAC
rnacentral:piRNA from 1 species